UACGUAGGGUGCGAGCGUUAAUCGGAAUUACUGGGCGUAAAGCGUGCGCAGGCGGUUUUGUAAGUCAGAUGUGAAAUCCCCGGGCUUAACCUGGGAAUGGCAUUUGGGACUGCAAGGCUUGAGUUUGGCAGAGGAGACUGGAAUUCCUGGUGUAGCAGUGAAAUGCGUAGAUUUCAGGAGGAAUACCGAUGGCGAAGGCAGGUCUCUGGGCUGAAACUGACGCUCAUGCACGAAAGCGUGGGGAGCAAACAGG
rnacentral:rRNA from 1 species